CGACAGCCUGCACUUGUGGCAUAUUUUUCCUUGUGGACGAUAAAGCAUCUGGGAUCAAAUGUUGAUGAAUGAUAUAAUCAUGUGUUUUAUUCCAUGUUUAUUAAUAAGAAGUUUGAAAGGUUGGGCUGUAUUUUUAUAUCACUAUACACAAAAAUGUAAAGAGCAUUUGUAGUACUUUAUUGUAUUUAAUGAACUCUAAUUUAAGGUAAUAUACACUGCAUUUGUCCGUUUAAUCACCUGACCAUCUCAUUUUGAUCAUUUGCUUCAAAUAUAUCGCAUCGAUUGCGUUUAGCACACAUCAUGACAAACGUGUUAGUGGAUUUUCGGCUUGUAAAUCCAUACUUUGUAAAAGUGAAGCCUUAUUUUUAACGACAGCAAUUAAUAAUCCAAAAGGGAAUAAAACGCCGAUUAAAAUUGCAAUAGAUUUAGGAAAUAUAUAGUGUUGGGCGUUGCCAGAUGUUUUCCGAGUAUUAUCGUUUCUUUUUUGAGCUGCAAACCUUGUUGAAGUUUUAAAAGUAAAUUAAUGUACAAAAUGCACUUAAUUGAAAUAUUCAGUCACUGCAGUUUGGGGCUACAAUGAUUAAUCCACCUCCAACCUCAUUUUUAAUCGACAACUAAAAUUUUCAGAUUUUCCAAAAUUUUCUGGUUUCUUUGCUCCGUUAAACAAAGAAAUGAUUAAAGUUGAAUAUGUUUUGGUUCGUGGAUAAAACGAGACGUUUAACAGCGUCAUUUUGAGUUUUUUGGACCAAAAAAUGUACUUGCAUAAACAUCAGAUUAAUCGAUUAUAAGAAUAAUUGUUAGUCAUUGACAGUCGGCAGAGAAAUAACAAUUGACAACAUGCGAUUGUUAUCUGCGAUUAAAUGAAAAGGAAAUUAUGUUUUUAGAGUUUCAGGCGUCACUGUUGCCAUUUAUCAGAGAGGAAAACUUGAGUUUUCUUCCUCAGUAGCAGCUGUAGUGAAAUCAGUGUUCAUUCAUUCAUAUGCAUCAGUUUUCUGCAGGAUCUGUUUUUCAGUUCACUCAUAACUUGGGAGAAGAGUUCAUGUGUGAAAGGUCAAAUGAGAGACACUUCAUCAUUUUUACCGUCCAAUGUUGCAAAGCAAUGUUUCUCCUUUUGUUUUUAUAUAGUAGAUGAUGGAUUUUCUUUAUUUUACUGUUGUACAUAAAGUUGCACAUGACUCCACACCCUGUUGUAAUUAUGUUUCCUUCACUUCAUCCUUCUUACCUAGUACUGUAAGGAACCUCUGCUUGAACAAUAAAAAUGUUCCUUGAUUUAAA